ACUCAAAUGAAUAGACGGGGGCUCACACAAGCGGUGGAGCAUGUUGCUUAAUUCGAGGCAACGCGAAGAACCUUACCUGGGUUUGACAUGCACGAAUCAACUUCUUGAAAGAGAAGCCACUCCCGCAAGGGCGGAGCGUGCACAGGUGCUGCAUGGCUGUCGUCAGCUCGUGCUGUGAAGUGUCGGGUUAAGUCCCUUAACGAGCGCAACCCCUGUCGUUAGUUGCCACCAGGUUAUGCUGAGCACUCUAACGAGACUGCCGGCGUUAAGCCGGAGGAAGGUGGGGAUGACGUCAAGUCCUCAUGGCCCUUACACCCAGGGUUGCAAACGUGCUACAAUGGCGCGCACAAAGCGAUGCAAGAGCGCAAGCUGGAGCAAAUCGCAAAAAACGCGCCCCAGUUCGGAUUGCAGGCUGCAACCCGCCUGCAUGAAGUCGGAAUCGCUAGUAAUCGGAGAUCAGCUACGCUCCGGUGAAUGUGUUCCUGAGCCUUGUACACACCGCCCGU
rnacentral:rRNA from 1 species